CGGGGCAGCAGCGGGUCAGUCCUGAAGGUGGGCUGGGCCUGCCCGCCGCGCGGACCUCUGGACGGGACCCUGCCCACAGGGGACUUCGCGGCCCUGCUGCACGCGGGGCUGUCGGUGCGCCGUGCGCUGCUGCUGAACCUGGCCUCGGCUCUCACGGCCUUUGCCGGCCUCUACGUGGCGCUUGCAGUCGGAGUCGGCGAGGAGAGCGAGGCCUGGAUCCUGGCAGUAGCCACAGGCCUCUUCCUCUACGUGGCGCUCUGUGACAUGGUCAGGGGGCAGCCGGGAGCCUGGGGUGGGGAGCUGAGAAGGUGCCUAAGCCGCCCACUAACCCAGUGCCCCCUCCUCAGCUCCCGGCCAUGCUCAAUGUGCGGGACCGCAGGCCCUGGCUCCUCUUCCUGCUGCACCAUGUGGGCCUGCUGGGCGGCUGGACCGUCCUGCUGCUGCUGUCACUGUACGAGGACAAUAUCACCCUUUAAUAAUCCUGCCCCUGUCUACAGCUGUUGACUCUGCCCCUGACCAGGGCUCCUCAUACCUUUGGAUGGGCUCAGCAGCCAGAGAACCCCAGGGCCUCGAGAGUCCCCUUCUCCCUCCCCAGGUUUGGAGCCCCUAUUUCAAUAAAGACAGCCUU
rnacentral:lncRNA from 1 species